AAAAAAAAUCAAGUUUCGUUGUAAAUAGCUUUAAAUUUUGCAAUUAUUUUUUCAAUACAAUAACUUACUUUUAUAAACUAUUGCUGAAUUGCGGUAACUGUAAUGAGUUAAAGAGGAUAAACUUUCGUUUUGGAUUCAAAGCGUAAACUAAACAUUUUUUCUUACUUAUAAAUAAUACAUAUAAUGCAUAAUUUAUAAUGCCAUAGGCGCAUACAUACUUCAAUUACCAUGGAUUUAUAAAUAGUUUUAGUCAUUAAGGAUCAUUAAUACAUAAGAGCUUAAUGUAAUAUAUAGCAUAUAUAUAUAUAAAAAGUAGAUAUAAAUAUGAA